CGAUCCAAGAUCAUGCCAAACCGUCAACAAUCAGAUCCAGCUAACUGAGUUAGCGACGUACGAAGAACGGAGCCCUGAUCAUCAACUGCGGUCAAGUGAGCCCUCACUUGAUUUUGUUGGUCUCGCAAACACUAAGGAUUACGGCAGAGGCGGCUGAGACUACUUUUCAAAAUAAAAGCACUGACUACUUUUACUUACAGAUGACAGAUGAUGUUCUUCAGAACUUAUUCAUCAAACUGCAUCUACAUCAUUUGUGUUUUAAAAAUAAAGGCAUUUAAAAAUCUCUA